GCCUAGAUAGCUCAGUUGGGAGAGCGUGAGACUGAAAAUCUAAAGGUCCCCGGUUCGAUUCCGGGUCUGGGCA
rnacentral:tRNA from 1 species